rnacentral:ncRNA from 1 species
UAGGGCACGCAGGGGAGUCCCGCCAAGGGGACUGAGAGGCUGACGGGACAUAUGUCCGGUGAUGCGACCCUUAGAACCUGACCCAGUUGACACUGGCGUAGGAAGCUAGGGACGCCCCGGA